CAAAGAAUAGUUUAGUUUAGAAUCCCUAGCUUUGGGAGUUAGGGGNGG
rnacentral:tRNA from 1 species